UACGGAGGGAGCUAGCGUUGUUCGGAAUACUGGGCGUAAAGCGCACGUAGGCGGCGAUUCAAGUCAGAGGUGAAAGCCCGGGGCUCAACCCCGGAACUGCCUUUGAAACUAGAUUGCUAGAAUCCUGGAGAGGUGAGUGGAAGUUCCGAGUGUAGAGGUGAAAUUCGUAGAUAUUCGGAAGAACACCAGUGGCGAAGGCGACUCACUGGACAGGUAUUGACGCUGAGGUGCGAAAGCGUGGGGAGCAAACAGG
rnacentral:rRNA from 1 species